CCCACUCUGCGCCCUCGAGCGAGGUUUCGUGCCCUUGGGCAAGAAACAGUCGCCCGACUCUUUGCCCUCCUUCGCCUGCCGCCUCCCUUCGUCCCUUCGCCGCCGCCCUGGCCAACGAGCCUCCCUCGAUCUGUUUCCUAAGAUCUCUCAAGACCGCCCCAGCCCCGAGACAGGCAGCCACCGAGAUCCGAGAUCGGAGAUGAGCCGCCUCCGCUGAGGAACGAGAGGAGUCGCCGCCUCCAGGUCGUCGUUGUGCCACACCGCCGCCUCCAGGUCGCCGCCGUCACGCACUGCCUCAGGUCCGUUGACCACUCCUCUCCUCGCCACUCCUCACUGCCAGCCCCGCAUAGCUCUGCCUCCACGACGGGGAUUCGCUCUAUGGCGUCCAUGAGAGGUGGCUGCAGCCGCCAUGGUGCUGAUCCGGUCCUUGCUGCUGGAUCCGGCCCUCUCCACUCCUCCUCCCAGUCUGAUCCAAUGGCGACUGCACGACGUCGACCUCCCGGAUGGCGUGAAGUCCCAGCGGCAACCUCAGGCCCCUUGCGGUUGGGGUCGAUUUGAGGUGGCUCCGGUGGAAACAUGGACCACAUCACACUGUUACAGGGGCUCCCGAGGCGACAUCCAGUUGCUCCGUGUGUUCGUUUUGCACAUGUUCAUAGUGGGCAACCUCGAGGUCAUCGUCACUUCGAGCGCGGCGAGAUCCUCGAGGUCGUCAUCAUCACAGACAAGGGCACUGGCAGAUCCAAUGGCAGCGGAUUCGAGGCGGAGGCGGCCAUUAGGGUGUGCUUGAGUCCGUACCCGAUGAUUAGCGGCCGGAGGGCAACUGCAACCUUGCAUGCCUCGGGUCCAGAGGUCCAAGGCACCACAACCAACUGCCUCUUCAGCCAUAUGCUGGGUGUCCGUGUUGAACGUAGCAGAUGGUUGCCCUUCAAGCAUCAACAAAUUGGAAAAUUCAAGCUCUGAUGAGAUUACAAGCAGGGCAGAAAGGGAAUCAACACCAUCACUCCAAAACAUUGAAGAUGGAUGAAAUGCUGCUGAGACGUUACAAGAUAUUCCAGCAGAGGCAUCCUUACCGUCCGCAUUACAAGGAUAUGAGAACAUUGGGGUCCUGAAGGCAGUGACCUGUUUACCAUACACAUAUUUACUUCCUUUCUAGGGCGGAACAAUGGAAGGCACAAUUCCAAGUACAGCUCUUCAAGAACAGGAUCUCUGAAGGAACAACAAUUUACAAGCUUGGCGCUUACCAGGUUCAAUAUGCUAGGGAAAGAUACAAAACUGUAGAUCGUCCAUGGAGAGUAGUGUUUGCCCAAAAAACUACCGUGGAACCAAUUGUGCCUCAGCCACCAAACUUUCCCAAGUAUGGAUAUACGACCUACAAUGUACACAGUAUCAAAGCCGCAUUAAACAAAUUGUUUUGUUGUCAGGUCAGCAACUCUUAAGAAUUGUUUUUAUUGUAUAAUUUUCCACUUCUUACAACUUACAAUUUACUGAACUUGUGAAUGUUGGAUUAGUUACCAGCAUCACAAGAAUAUUUGCGCCGAGCGGCGGAUCGGUUGACCAGAUAUGAGAAAAUCACAUUGCGCCACUUUUAUCAUUUUUCAUUCUGUGUUCUUAUCUCUUCACUGAAACAAUGAUAUAUCUUUCCAGAAUGCCUGCCGUUGUGACGUUUUGGGGAAAAUUAGCAGAUGCCCUUGAUGCAGACAAAGCUACAACGGUGGUCUGCUCAAGAACCCAUUAUAGUUCUAUUUGUUGGCAUGCCAGUACAUGAAUUUAAUGAAACUUGGCCUUCAAGUCCUGUCUGGCAACUCGAUGGUACAUAAAUCCAACUAUUUCUGAAGCGGCAGCUAUUCUAGGAAGAUCUACUGCAAGAUCCCAUCAAAUUGAGAUAAGCACCGGCUCACAGGGUCAUCGCUAGGCAACAAAUACAACAAUCACAUAAUUAUCAGCCGUUGACCCUGGUGGAAUCAUGGACCAGUACUAUAAACUGGAAAUAAAGAGAACUGAAGUGUCCCCUUCCAUGGCGUUGGGCGGCCUUUCUCUGCCAGGCGCGGCGGCUCCUCGGUAGGAUGAUGCAGCUGGCUCGGCGGAGGCUAGGACACAUUACAAGCCCCCUCACCCACCCUGACGAGAAGGGCGGCAAGACGAAACUGCUUGCUGAUUUUUAUCGUUGCAUAAAUAUGCUUAUUGUUACAGUGCUUGUCGCAGAGCUGGAGAUGGAAAGAACCAAUCUUACUUUACUAUUAUGUGAGAAUUAUUAGUCUGCAAAUUGAUUACUAAUCCCUCCGUCUCAAAAUAAGUGACUCAACUUUGUACUAGCUUUAGUACAAAGUUAGUACAAAAUUGAGUCACUUAUUUUGAGAUGGAGGGAGUAUUUUCUAUCCUUUGGUGAAAUGACCAAGAGCAAGCAAGAUGUUGCCAAUACUUGCGAGAUGAUAGUGUAGUUGGCCUUGACUUCCUUUUCUGGUCCUAACCAAUUUUAGAGAACAGUGUAAUGUUUUUCAUUGUUUAUUAUCCUCGGUGCAUACAAAAAAUUACUUCGAGUCUCAGGUAGCCAGGUUGCAUUAUCACCAUCUUACAAAUAUUUGUUGUGCAGGUCUGAGCUGUGUGCAAGGAAGCUCAAGACAUUGGAGGAAAGCAUUGUCGGAUAUAUGGUAUCCUGACCCUCUUACUUGGGACUGGGAUAAGUUACAAUCAUACAUGUUCUGAGUUCUGUACUCCCAUGUACUUGGGUCCAAUAAUUUAUCUUGACAUUAUUUUAAAUUUUUCUCUAAGAUGUGCAUAUCACUGCUGAAUUUUUUGCAAUAUAUAAAUUCAGUGUUAUUGUGAACACUUGAACAAUACAUACUGAUGUGUAGAAUGAGAUUGUUGUAUACUGAGGACUGAGGUAAUCCUUUAGUCAGCUAAAUAGUGCAUAGUUUACUGAUGUAGAUUAUUAGUAAGCUUCUAAUAAAUAUGAUUUGCCAAAAAAAUAAAUUGCGCAUACAAGAGUCAGCUAGGUAAAUAUGAUUUAAUAGGUUACUGAAGAUUUGCGAUGAAUAAAAAUUGCACGGUCACCUAGGUAAACCGCAGGAUGUUUUCCCCACCAUGGAUGUCUUCUUAUGUCAACCUGCUCUUGGUAAGUACAGUAUGAACUGCCAAAAUUUCAAUGGUACAUGAGUGGAUAAAUUUUGCAUGAUGGUGAAUAUGUUAUCAUUGCACUAAAACAAAUCUAUGCUAUGAUGUAUCUUGAUCAAUCUACAAUACCAUUUGGGGUAAACGCUCAUGUAGAUAAUCAUGUCUCCUUGAAAUUAUUUGUAUGUAAAUAGUUUUGUGCUAUGGUGUACCUUUGCUGCUCCUGAAAACUCUUAGUGUAAAUGGUCAUGGAGAUAAUUAUGUCUAUUUGAAGUUAUUAGAAAGUAAUGAAAUUCUAUGUUCAUGCCAUUUCUCUUUUCUUUUCAUGAGAAAAAAUCACUCAAGGAAGGAUCAAAUUAUAUAGCAUGGCCAGAGAUGAGUAACUCGGAGUCACAACUUCACCACCAUUUCCAAACGCAAGUUUGUUGGGAAGUCAAAGUCAUGCGCUAGGUUAAGAGGAGGGGAGGCAUCUGGUAGAGAGAAAUGUUAUCUUAGUGUGGCAUCGAGGUCUUGAGAGAAUGUUUGUUUAACUACCAUAGUUUCAAGUCAUUUUCUACUCCAUAGCAGCACACAAUUAUCUUAUUAGAAUUUGUACACGGGUGUUAUUACUUGGUAGAAACAAGUGAGAAUACCACAAUUAUUUGGGAGAAUUUUUAUUACUGAGACCUUUAUAUUUCUUCUAGACAAAAAGCCAACAUCUUUGUUGAGGUUGAAGAAAUGGGGAGAUAAAGUUGCCAUAUCAAAAUAUGCAUCUUUCAUUAACUGUAAAUAAGAAAUUCAAUUCUCCGUCAUCUCUCUGAGGUAGUGGUAACCUUCUCAUUUUCCAAUCAGAUAUAUAAUACGCCAUCAUCUCUUGGAGUAUGUGAGUACAUUUUCAUAGUUUUGCUAAAGUCUAGAAAAGAUGUCAAGCAAUGGUAUGGUGAGAUGACAUACCUUUGAAGAGACGACAAUGCUACAUGCUGCUUUGUCUUUUUCAAGAGUGGUUGGUUAAGUAGGCAUGUGGACUCUCAAGGAAAUAAGCGGGAGAGAGAAUUGAUAUUUGUAGCUAUAUGAAUAGAUAUUACAGGCUUGUGUUUGACAUAUAUUUUCUGAAUUACGAGCGCAUAUGUUUUUGGUUAUGCCUUGCCAAAGCACGAGCACUUAGCUAGCAGCAUUCAACAUGCAUGCAUAUUUUUUAAUAUAUGUUUAUAUGUUGACUUUUGUAGGUCUGAGAUAAAACGGAUGGCUUCGGAUGAUGCUUUGAAAAUGUCCGUCGACAAAGUCACGGACAUACUAUGACAUACUAUGAUGGACGGGACUCAAAUCUCAUCAAGUUUUACACAAUGAGAGAUGCAUAGAAAUAAUUGUUCUUCCUUGUACAUAUGUUGCACAUAAUAAUACAAAAGGUUUAUUUCUAUGUAUGUUUAUUUUUGCAGAGUAUAUAUCAAAGAGAUGGAGAGGGAUUAUGUCGAUGUUCAAAAAGAAUCCAUAGACAAGGGUCCCAAGGCAAUGUCGUUGGAAGGGGUUGAAAAUUUUCUGAGCUUUAUACAACAAUAUUGGAUAUGCAAGCAGAAAAAAAAGGCUAAGGCCCCUUUUGGUUCAUAGGGUUGGAAUAAUAAUAGGAAUAUAAAAAUUAUAGUAAAUGAGAUGUCAUGUAUCUCAAAUCAUAUGAAUAGUAAUAUGAAAAGAGAUGUCCUUUCAUUCA